rnacentral:rRNA from 1 species
AUGAUAAGAUGGUAUCCAAUGUUCAAGCCAUCAAAGUGUUGGAACUUGCUAUCACGGAAGGAAGGCCUCUGCUUAUUGAAAGGCAUGAAGUGGAACCUGGUCCCAUUUUGGGAAUCGUAUGGGAAAAAAUCUGGCCACGGUCGCUUCCUCCGGUCUGCGCGGUCAAAGUUCCUGGUCAUGGAGAGAACAUGGAACUCAAUUUACUUGCUAUCGUUACAGGCGGGCAAAUCUUUACUGAAGAAAAUGGAAUGA